GUGAGGAAUAUUGGACAAUGGGCGCAAGCCUGAUCCAGCCAUGCCGCGUGCAGGAAGACGCAUCUAUGGUGUGUAAACUGCUUUUGUACGGGAAGAAACACUCCCUCGUGAGGGAGCUUGACGGUACCGUAAGAAUAAGGAUCGGCUAACUCCGUGCCAGCAGCCGCGGUAAUACGGAGGAUCCAAGCGUUAUCCGGAAUCAUUGGGUUUAAAGGGUCCGUAGGCGGUUUAAUAAGUCAGUGGUGAAAGCCCAUCGCUCAACGAUGGAACGGCCAUUGAUACUGUUAGACUUGAAUUACAAGGAAGUAACUAGAAUAUGUAGUGUAGCGGUGAAAUGCUUAGAUAUGAUGUAGAACACCGAUUGCGAAGGCAGCUCACUAAGCAAAUAUUGACGCUGAGGCACGAAAGCGUGGGGAUCAAACAGGAUUAGAAACCCCGGUAGUCC
rnacentral:rRNA from 1 species